CUAUGCAUUUUGAUGUGUUUAAGGCAUGAUCAAGCAAACAAAUGACAGAAUACUUUUGCUGAAACCUUAACUGUGUUACCUGUUAUGGCAGCUAACAGACACUCGGCGCAUGGCUCCUUUGUUUACGUUAGGGAUCAGCUGUUAGCGCUGCGCCCUGCAGCUGCGCUACCGGCAGACAGACCCUACGUCCCCAGUGAGGGAAGAGACGGGGGUGAUGUCUCCCGAUAAGGACACCUUACACACCAUCUCUCCUUCCUGUAAUCACUGUAAAUGUGAGAUCGCUCCCUGAUAUGAUUGAGGAGCUAAUGACGCUAACCCGGUCACAGUGGCAGUACCCCGACACUGCCCGGUACUCCCUCUGUGAGUAGGCUGCCCGGCUUCCAGCUGCUGCGGCCGGACAAGACGAGAGACAGCGGUGAGAGGAAAGGAGGGGGACUGGGCAGUGUUUGUUAAAGACAACUGUGGGACCUCUGGGCACAUUGCUGUGAAAGAACAACUCUGCAACAGAAACAUUGAGCUAUUAGCCGUUAGUAUCCGUGGAGGCAGCCUGUGACUCUCUGUGGUCCGCAGACUGCAGACGCAAUCUCCGACUGCUCUUCUUCUAAUAUCAGGGGACUUUAAUCAUGUCUCGCUGGACUCCACACUGCCCACCUUCACCCAGUAUGUGACCUGCCCCACCGUAGGCAAUAAAACAUUGUACUUAAUGUAUGCCAAUGAAAAAGUGGCAUACAGUUCAUCA